rnacentral:rRNA from 1 species
AUUGAACGCUGGCGGCAUGCCUUACACAUGCAAGUCGAACGGUAACAGGUCUUCGGAUGCUGACGAGUGGCGAACGGGUGAGUAAUACAUCGGAACGUGCCCGAGAGUGGGGGAUAACGAGGCGAAAGCUUUGCUAAUACCGCGUACGAUCUCAGGAUGAAAGCGGGGGACCGCAAGGCCUUGCGCUCACGGAGCGGCCGAUGGCAGAUUAGGUAGUUGGUGGGAUAAAAGCUUACCAAGCCGACGAUCUGUAGCUGGUCUGAGAGGACGACCGGCCACAAUGGGACGGAGACACGGCCCAGACUCCUACGGGAGGCAGCAGUGGGGAAUUUUGGACAAUGGGCGCAAGCCUGAUCCAGCCAUGCCGCGUGCAGGAUGAAGGCCUUCGGGUUGUAAACUGCUUUUGUACGGAACGAAAAGACUCUGGUUAAUACCUGGGGUCCAUGACGGUACCGUAAGAAUAGGCACCGGCUAACUACGUGCCAGCAGCCGCGGUAAAAC